UGGGGAAUAUUGGACAAUGGGCGAAAGCCUGAUCCAGCCAUGCCGCGUGUGUGAAGAAGGUCUUCGGAUUGUAAAGCACUUUAAGUUGGGAGGAAGGGCAGUUACCUAAUACGUGAUUGUUUUGACGUUACCGACAGAAUAAGCACCGGCUAACUCUGUGCCAGCAGCCGCGGUAAUACAGAGGGUGCAAGCGUUAAUCGGAAUUACUGGGCGUAAAGCGCGCGUAGGUGGUUAGUUAAGUUGGAUGUGAAAUCCCCGGGCUCAACCUGGGAACUGCAUUCAAAACUGACUGACUAGAGUAUGAUAGAGGGUGGUGGAAUUUCCUGUGUAGCGGUGAAAUGCGUAGAUAUAGGAAGGAACACCAGUGGCGAAGGCGACCACCUGGACUGAUACUGACACUGAGGUGCGAAAGCGUGGGGAGCAAACAGGAUUAGAUACCCACGUAGUCCCUGAGCGGGCUGGCAAGGCGCAU
rnacentral:rRNA from 1 species